AUUGAACGCUGGCGGAAUGCUUUACACAUGCAAGUCGAACGGCAGCACGGACUUCGGUCUGGUGGCGAGUGGCGAACGGGUGAGUAAUGUAUCGGAACGUGCCCAGUCGUGGGGGAUAACGUAGUGAAAAUUACGCUAAUACCGCAUACGAUCUAUGGAUGAAAGCGGGGGAUCGCAAGACCUCGCGCGAUUGGAGCGGCCGAUAUCAGAUUAGGUAGUUGGUGGGGUAAAGGCCCACCAAGCCAACGAUCUGUAGCUGGGCUGAGAGGACGACAAGCCAAACUGGAACUGAGACACGGUCCAGACUCCUACGGGAGGCAGCAGUGGGGAAUUUUGGACAAUGGGCGAAAGCCUGAUCCAGCCAUUCCGCGUGCAGGAUGAAGGCCCUCGGGUUGUAAACUGCUUUUGUACAGAACGAAAAGGUUUCUACUAAUACUAGGAGCUCAUGACGGUACUGUAAGAAUAAGCACCGGCUAACUACGUGCCAGCCGCCGCGGUAA
rnacentral:rRNA from 1 species